rnacentral:rRNA from 1 species
UAUUGGUGCCUUCGGGACUCUGAGACAGGUGCUGCAUGGCUGUCGUCAGCUCGUGUUGURAAAUGUUGGGUUAAGUCCCGCAACGAGCGCAACCCUUAUCCUUUGUUGCCAGCGGUCCGGCCGGGAACUCAAAGGAGACUGCCAGUGAUAAACUGGAGGAAGGUGGGGAUGACGUCAAGUCAUCAUGGCCCUUACGAGUAGGGCUACACACGUGCUACAAUGGCGCAUACAAAGAGAAGCGACCUCGCGAGAGCAAGCGGACCUCAUAAAGUGCGUCGUAGUCCGGAUUGGAGUCUGCAACUCGACUCCAUGAAGUCGGAAUCGCUAGUAAUCGUAGAUCAGAAUGCUACGGUGAAUACGUUCCCGGGUCUUGUACACAC